rnacentral:rRNA from 1 species
GAACGGCGAUAUGCCUGUCAGUGGAUGGCUCGGUUCGAGGGCCGAAGAAGGGCGUGCCAAGCUGCGAUAAGCUCCGGGAAGACGCAUGGAGUCUACGAUCCGGAGAUCCCCGAAUGGGACAUCCCAGCACUUCGGUGUUGAUCCGUUAAGGAUCGGGAACCCCCCGAAUUGAAACAUCUUAGUAGGGGGAGGAAGAGAAAUCAAUCGAGAUGUCGCUAGUAGAGGCGAUCGAACACGACAGAGUUCAAACUGAAUCCCGCAAGGGAGAUGUGGUGUCGUAAGCCUGCCGUCCCGGGUCACGUGACCAAGUGGCAGUCCUCUGGAAUGAGGCACUAGAGAGGGUGAUAGUCCCGUACACGUUCGUCACGUGACUCUGGCAGUGUCUUGAGUACCGCGGGUCGGAAUUCUCGCGGGAAUCCGGGGGUCAUCAACCUCCAAAACUAAAUACCCCUCGAAACCGAUAGCGCAUUAGUAGCGUGAGCGAAGGCUGAAAAGUAACCCUGGAACGGUGGUGAAAAGCGCCUGAAACUGAUAGGUGAUGGCGCGUUACGGCGCGAAAGGAUCUUCGCCGCGAAGAAACCCGUCGCGAGGCGGUAGUACGGGCGGCGUUGCCAGUGUCGUAACGUACGUUUUGAAGAACGGGCCAGAGAGUUUAUUCUGCAGGCGAGGUUAACCCAAAAGGGAAGCCAAAGGGAAACCAACAAGUCCGUAGCCUCCGGGCAUGGGACGGCGUAUUAAAAGUGCGUGGAGUCUGCAGGAUAAGACCCGAAGCCUAGCGAUCUAUGCGUGGGCAGGUCGAAGCGUGCUGAAAGGCGCGUGGAGGACCGCAAACGGUUUUGAUAUGCAAAUCAUUCGCGUGACCUGCGUAUAGGAGUGAAAGAUUAAUCGAGCUGGGCAUCCGCUGGUUCCUCUCGAAACAUGCCGUAGCAUGACCUGGCCGGAGAUAGACGGUGAGGUAGAGCACUGAUUGGGGGAGCUGGGGGAGAAAUCCCUCACCCCCCUGUCAAACUCCAAAUUCCCCGUCGUCGAAGAUGGCCGGCAGUCCGGACUACGGGGUAAGCUUGUAGUCCGUAAGGGAGACAACCCAGACCGUGGUUAAUGUCCCUCAAUGUAGGCUCAGUGUCAACACUGAAAGGCGUCCCAGGCCAAAGACAACUGGAAGGUGAGCUCAGAAGCAGCUAUCCUUUAAAAAGUGCGUAACAGCUUACCAGUCGAGGUUUGGGGCACUGAAAAUGGACGGGGCUUAAGCCUACUACAGAGACCACGGACCACACGUUCGUGUGAUGGCGUAGAGAGGCGUGCUGCCUGGGCCGAAGCAGGGCCGUAAGGUCCUGUGGACCGGGUAGUAAUGAGAAUUCUGGCAUUAGUAGAAGCAAAGUUGGGUGAGAAUCCCAACCGCCGGAGGGGCUAGGUUUCCUCGGCAAUGUUCGUCAGCCGAGGGUUAGUCGGUCCUAAGGUGUGUCGUAACUCGAACACAUCGAAAGGGAAACAGGUUAAUAUUCCUGUACCGUGCAUCCAUUGCGGGUAACCGCCCUGACGCUUCGGGAUAUGCCGGGCAGGGUCGUCGCCCUGUCCAAGCGUUCAACCUCGUGGAGUACCGUCAUGGUGAGAAGCGAGGGAAGACGUGAUGGAGUAAUUCGGCAAAUUCCUGGAGCCCGUGAAAAGGGGGAUGCAAUGACCGUACCGAGAUCUGACACAGGUGCCCCUAGCUGAAAAGGCUAAGGCGUGUCGGUGUAAUCGUGUUAAGGGAACUCGGCAAAUUAGCCCCGUAACUUCGGGAGAAGGGGUGCCUGCCUGGCGAUCAGGCAGGUCGCAGUGACCAGGGGGCUCUGACUGUCUAAUAACAACAUAGGUGACUGCAACUCGGAAACGAUUAGUAUAGUCACUGAUUCCUGCCCAGUGCGAGUAUCUGAAUCCCGGGUUCAACCGGACGAAGGACUCGUAAACGGCGGGGGUAACUAUGACCCUCUUAAGGUAGCGUAGUACCUUGUCGCUUAAUUGGCGACUUGCAUGAAUGGAUUAACGAGAGCCCUACUGUCCCUAACACGAAUCCGUUGAACAUUUUGUCCUAGUGCAGAGACUAGGGACUCCAGAUGGGAAGUGAAGACCCCGUGGAGCUUUACUGCAGCCUGUUGCUGUGUUACGGUAUUCCUUGCGCAGCGUAGAUGGGAGGCGUCGAACCAUCCCUUCCGGGGGGUGGGGAGCCACCGAUGAGACACCAUCCUUGGUUUACUGUAACACUAACUCUCGUUCCGAGAGGACACCGGUAGGUAGGCAGUUUGGGUGGGGCGCCACACCCUCGAAAAAAUAUCAAGGGUGCCCUAAGGUCAACUCAUGUGAGUCAGAAACUCACAGGAGAGUGUCAAGAGCAUAAGUUGGCCUGACGCGAUUUCGCAGAGCAAGAAAUCGCGAGAGGAAACUCGGGUCUAACGAACCAAUGAGCCUUGUUGAUGAGGGCCAUUGACGACAGAAAAGCUACCCCGGGGAUAACAGAGUCGUCGCCGGCAAGAGCACAUAUCGACCCGGCGGCUUGCUACCUCGAUGUCGGUUCUUUCCAUCCUGGCCGUGCAGCAGCGGCCAAGGGUGAGGUUGUUCGCCUAUUAAAGGGGAUCGUGAGCUGGGUUUAGACCGUCGUGAGACAGGUCGGUUACUAUCUAUCUGGAGUGUUUGGAGUCUGAAGGUAAGAUGGAAAUAGUACGAGAGGAACUUUCCGUCGCCGCCUCUGGUCGAUCGGUUGUCCGACCGGGCACUGCCGAGCAGCUACGCGGUAAGGGAUAAAAGCUGAAAGCAUCUAAGCUUGAAACCCGCCCUGAAAAGAGACUCCGUUAAGGACACGGGUAAAAGACCCGCUUGAUAGGUCCGGGAUGUAAGCACGAAGGUAACGACGUGUUCAGUCCGCGGAUACUAACGUCCAAUGCCAUCCGCU